GCGAGUGAGGCUCAGUGGUUAGAGCCUCUGCUGGGCAUGCAGAAGGCCCUGGGUUCAGCCCCGGGCAUCGGCA
rnacentral:tRNA from 1 species